rnacentral:rRNA from 1 species
GGUUUUUAGAUAUUAUUAAAAAUCAAGCCUGCUCAAUGUUAAUAAAUAGCCGCGGUAUUAUGACCGUGCAAAGGUAGCAUAAUAAUUAGUCUCUUAAUUGGGGACUGGAAUGAACGGUUUAACUAAAUAUUUUUGUCUUAUACUCAUAUUUUGAAUUUUAUAUUUUAAUAAAAAAGUUAAAAUGAUUUUAAGGGACGAGAAGACCCUAUCAAGCUUUACAAUCUAAUUUUUAUUUUCAAACUAAAAACUAAAUUGUUUUACUGGGGCAGUAGAUAAUAAAAAUAUUAUUUUCAUAUUGUAAUCGUAAAUUUAGCCAAAUCAAAAAAUUUUUAAAAAAUAAUAAGUUACUGUAGGGAUAACAGCAUAAUUUUUUUAAAGAGUUCUUAUCAUCAAAAAAGUUUGUGACCUCGAUGUUGGAUUAAGAUCCCUAAUUUGCGCAGCAGCAUUUAUAGGAAGUCUGUUCGACUUUUAAAAUCUUCCA